UACGGAGGGUGCAAGCGUUAUUCGGAAUUAUUGGGCGUAAAGAGCGCGUAGGCGGUUUCUUAAGUCAGAUGUGAAAGCCCAGGGCUUAACCCUGGAAGUGCAUUUGAAACUAAGGGACUUGAGUAUGGGAGAGGGAAGUGGAAUUCCUGGUGUAGCGGUGAAAUGCGUAGAUAUCAGGAGGAACACCGGUGGCGAAGGCGACUUCCUGGACCAAUACUGACGCUGAGGCGCGAAGGCGUGGGGAGCAAACAGG
rnacentral:rRNA from 1 species